rnacentral:rRNA from 1 species
GAUGAACGCUGGCGGCGUGCCUAAUACAUGCAAGUCGAGCGAACGGACGAGAAGCUUGCUUUUCUGAUGUUAGCGGCGGACGGGUGAGUAACACGUGGAUAACCUACCUAUAAGACUGGGAUAACUUCGGGAAACCGGAGCUAAUACCGGAUAAUAUUUUGAACCGCAUGGUUCAAAAGUGAAAGACGGUCUUGCUGUCACUUAUAGAUGGAUCCGCGCUGCAUUAGCUAGUUGGUAAGGUAACGGCUUACCAAGGCAACGAUGCAUAGCCGACCUGAGAGCGUGAUCGGCCACACUGGAACUGAGACACGGUCCAGACUCCCACGGGAGGCAGCAGUAGGGAAUCUUCCGCAAAGGGCGAAAGCCUGACGGAGCAACGCCGCGUGAGUGAUGAAGGUCUUCGGAUCGUAAAACUCUGUUAUUAGGGAAGAACAUAUGUGUAAGUAACUGUGCACAUCUUGACGGUACCUAAUCAGAAAGCCACGGCUAACUACGUG